rnacentral:tRNA from 1 species
GCUGCCUUAGCUCAGUUGGUAGAGCGCGUCCUUGGUAAGGACGAGGUCUUGGGUUCAAAUCCCAAAGGUAGCUCCA